UGUUCCUUUCCAUCACUCGUUGUGUUGACUUCAUCAUGUCCAUUUUGUGAUGUUUUUUCACUAUAUAAUCAUAUUGCAAGUGCACGUGCAUUUGCAAUAUGUUUCAAUGUGCAUUUACCAUAUGAAAUUUGACCUUGCUCAAAAAUGCAAAAUUGACUGGUCUGAUGAACACAGGAUGGCCGAGCAGUGAUAGUUGUACAUUUCCAUCACUCGUUGUGUUGAUUUCAUCAUGUCCAUUAGGUGAUGUUUUUACACUAUAGAAUCAUAUUGCAAGUGCGCGCGCAUUUGCAAUAUGUUUCAAUGUGCAUUUACCAUAUGAAAUUUGACAUGCUCAAAAAUGCAAAAUUGACUGGUCUGAUGGACACAGGAUGGCCGAGCAGUGAUAGUUGUACAUUUCCAUCACUCGUUGUGUUGAUUUCAUCAUGUCCAUUAGGUGAUGUUUUUUCACUAUAGAAUCAUAUUGCAAGUGCGCGCGCAUUUGCAAUAUGUUUCAAUGUGCAUUUACCAUAUGAAAUUUGACAUGCUCAAAAAUGCUAAAUUGACUGGUCUGAUGGACACAGGAUGGCCGAGCAGUGAUAGUUGUACAUUUCCAUCACUCGUUGUGUUGAUUUCAUCAUGUCCAUUAGGUGAUGUUUUUUCACUAUAGAAUCAUAUUGCAAAUGCACGUGCAUUGUUGUGCAACUGGUAACCCAAAAAUAAAAAUAUGGUUGUAAAUGCAUUUACCGGUCAUUCUGAUAUUAAUGCUCGCUAUGGGAACACAGGAUGGCCGGGCAGUGAUAGUUGUACAUUUCCAUCACUCGUUGUGUUGAUUUCAUCAUGUCCAUUAGGUGAUGUUUUUACACUAUAGAAUCAUAUUGCAAGUGCGCGCGCAUUUGCAAUAUGUUUCAAUGUGCAUUUACCAUAUGAAAUUUGACAUGCUCAAAAAUGCAAAAUUGACUGGUCUGAUGGACACAGGAUGGCCGAGCAGUGAUAGUUGUACAUUUCCAUCACUCGUUGUGU